CACAUGCCCUACAGUACAUGGUUUGCUGUCCACCCGACUGGUGGCUUACCAGUGUUCAUAUGGCCUACUAUCAGACUCUGUUGGCACUGCCCAGGCCACCAGGAGGCCAGGAGAGUGGCCUUGAGAGUUGCCCCAUUGAUGGUGGUCCGAGGCCCAAGAUCACCAGGACUCAAGUUCUGUACUCUGUUGAAGAUCUGGCAUUCAUCUCAAGAGACCCCAACAACCGCUUUGAUCCAGAAAAAGAACUCUGAUAUGUACCAUCAGGAAAGAUGAUUCUACCACAAGAACAAGUGCUGACAAUGAUAAGACAAAUGCAUCAAUGGACCUACCUGAGGAUAUCAAGUUAACUCAAACUGCCUUAAGAUCUAAGAAUUAUGUUCCAGGACUGAAACAACCUGGUGGAACAAAUAGUUCACAGUUGUGUUCCCUGCCAAAAGGUAAAUGCUUGCAGAUGCAAAGCUGACCCCAGUAAGAGACCUCAGGGAGAUAAGCCAGGAACCCACUGGGAAGUGGAUUUCACCGAGAUAAAACCAGGCUAUACAAGCCAGAGGAGUUGACAGGAACAGAAGAAAAUUACAAAUAAAAUUACUGAUAACAUAGUACCUAGAAGCCACAACUGUUGUCAUUUGGUUAUACUUCCUUUACUUCAUAUAAUGUAUACCAAAAGCAAGCACAUAAAAAAGAAAAUACUCAAGUUUACAAACUAACAAGAAUUUCAGUAUCACAUAAACCAUAAUAAUAAAGGCGAUUUCAAAACACA
rnacentral:lncRNA from 1 species